rnacentral:rRNA from 1 species
UACGGGGGGGGCAAGCGUUGUUCGGAAUUACUGGGCGUAAAGGGCUCGUAGGCGGCCAACUAAGUCAUACGUGAAAUCCCCCGGCUUAACCGGGGAACUGCGUCUGAUACUGGAUGGCUUGAGUACGGGAGAGGUGAGUGGAACUGCGAGUGUAGAGGUGAAAUUCGUAGAUAUUCGCAAGAACACCAGUGGCGAAGGCGGCUCACUGGCCCCGUAUGACGCUGAGGCACGAAAGCGUGGGGAGCAAACAGGG